rnacentral:rRNA from 1 species
GGAUGCGAUCAUACCAGCACUAAAGCACCGGAUCCCAUCAGAACUCCGAAGUUGAGCGUGCUUGGGCGAGAGUAGUACUAGGAUGGGUGACCUCCUGGGAAGUCCUUGUGUUGCAUUCC